UACGUAGGUGGCAAGCGUUGUCCGGAUUUAUUGGGGUUAAAGGGUGCGUAGGCGGCUUUGUAAGUCAGUGGUGAAAUACGGUAGCUUAACUAUCGAGGUGCCAUUGAUACUGCAGAGCUUGAGUACUGAUGAGGUAGGCGGAAUGGACGGUGUAGCGGUGAAAUGCUUAGAUAUCGUCCAGAACACCGAUAGCGAAGGCAGCUUACUAAGGAGUAACCGACGCUGAGGCACGAAAGUGUGGGGAUCAAACAGG
rnacentral:rRNA from 1 species